CCGAGUUAUACAACUCAUCAACCCUGUGAACAUACCUAUAACGUUGCCUCGGCGGGAACAGACGGCCCCGUAACACGGGCCGCCCCCGCCCGAGGACCCCCUAACUCUGUUUCUAUAAUGUUUCUUCUGAGUAAACAAGCAAAUAAAUUA
rnacentral:misc_RNA from 1 species